rnacentral:rRNA from 1 species
UACAGAGGGUGCAAGCGUUGUUCGGAAUUAUUGGGCGUAAAGCGCGUGUAGGCGGCUUUGCAAGUCGGGUGUGAAAGCCCUGGGCUCAACCCAGGAAGUGCGCCCGAAACUGCAUUGCUUGAGUACCGGAGAGGGUGGCGGAAUUCCCCAAGUAGAGGUGAAAUUCGUAGAUAUCGGGAGGAGCACCAGUGGCGAAGGCGGCGACCUGGACAGAUAUUGACGCUGAGGUGCGAAAGCGUGGGGAGCAAACAGG